CAGCCUCAGAGGGAGAGUGCCAGUCAGAGAAUGCGUGGGUGUAGGAGACCGACCGAAGCGUUGGAUACUGCUGGGUUGAGGUUUUUGUCUAUAACAAUGAACGGCACAAUCCAUUUCUCCCAGAGAGCCAGGAUUCAAAAGGAAGCUGAAGCGAACGGGACUCGCAGACACUGCCUAUGUGAACGUCCUAUUUUCCUGCGUUGCUUAUGCCAUUAAAUGGUCACAGCAGCAGUUCUGAGCUCUUCUUCAAACAAGUCUCAGAAACUGCUCAGCUAGAGAGAAGGUUUGCUUUCAGACACCCCUUUAAGCCUUUUUUUUACUGCCCAGCAGCUGCUGCAAAAGAUUUUGGGAAUGAGAUGAUGCUCUGAAUGCAAUUUAAAGGUUGCACAGUGUCCUGCUAUCUAUUCCAUUGGACAAAGGUGCUGGAAAUAAAGUACAAAUUAAGAAACCUCUGGGUGCCAGCAAGACAAGUUUGGACUUUGGCUUUUUUGGCAUAUGCCUGAGAUCAAGUGAUUGUGUUGAUGGUAAUCCAUUGUUAUGAUACCAAUCGCACCAAUCUGCCUCCAAGCCACUGAUCAAGUGGAAUGCUGCUGAUCGUGAAAAUUUGUCCAAUGCAACCUCAGGCAGGACUAGAUGGUUGUGUCUUCUGCCUCCCUCAAGCAUGACCAGAUGGAUUCAUUGCCCAACAGAUUGAGGAAUGGUGUGUUCAGAGCUGUUUAGCCUUCUUUGGCCUUGUGAUAAUUGUAAUUUCAAAAUCAUUAACCUCGACUGACAGAUGCCUAAAUGGGAAAUCUUUCGUAGCCUCCACAACUCAGAUGAAGAAGAAUCAGGAGAAGAACCACAUGAGAAUUUAGAAACAAAGAGGCAUCCUUCCAGCUCACCUCUGGAAGGUGAGGUUGGUUUAUUUAUUUAGCAGGCGAGGAAAAUCCAGUUCAUUUUACGAAUUACAGCUUGGGGAAAAAAUUGCAGAGUGGGCGCAAAUAAUCAAGCCGUAAUCCUAUCACCCCUUCAAUCAAUCGUUAUCAUUGAACCUAGUUGGCGAAGAUUGCACUGGAGAUCUUAUU